CCUACGGGAGGCAGCAGUGAGGAAUAUUGGUCAAUGGACGCAAGUCUGAACCAGCCAUGCCGCGUGCGGGAUGACGGUCCUCUGAGCUGUAAACUGCUUUUGUACGAGGGUACAUUCCGUUACCUGUUUCUCGCUGAAUGUAUCUUACGCAUAAGGAUCGGCUAACUCCGUGCCAGCAGCCGCGGUAAUACGGAGGAUUCAAGCGUUAUCCGGAUUUAUUGGGUUUAAAGGGUGCGUAGGCGGUCGGAUAAGUUAGAGGUGAAAUCCCGGGGCUCAACGUCGGAACUGCCUCUGAUACUGGCAGGCUGGAGUGUAGUAGAGGUAGGUGGAAUGUAUGGUGUAGCAGUGAAAUGCGUAGAGAUCAUACAGAACACCGAUGGCGAAGGCGACUUACC
rnacentral:rRNA from 1 species